CGGGGCGUGGCGCAGCCUGGUUAGCGCACUAGUCUGGGGGACUAGGGGUCGGAGGUUCAAAUCCUCUCGCCCCGA
rnacentral:tRNA from 1 species